AGCAAAGCUUUUUGUUGCAUCAGCUCCACUGAAGACUGCUUUUUUCAACUAGUUUGUUUCUCUUCUGCACGUUCUCAUUUUGCAGCUCCCGAGGAGCCUUCAAGCUUGGAAUGUACAGCACUACAAGACAAUGCAGCCACAGUUCUGUGCCACCUGCAAGUGGAUCUGCAGAAUAACCAAGCUUCUGCAUGCAUGAUAGACAAAGAGGUGACAGCUGAUCUGCUGUCAGCCCACAUCUCUUCACUGGAGGA
rnacentral:lncRNA from 1 species